GAUGAACGCUAGCUACAGGCUUAACACAUGCAAGUCGAGGGGCAGCAUAUUUAUAGCAAUAUAAAUGAUGGCGACCGGCGCACGGGUGAGUAACACGUAUCCAACCUGCCGUUUACUCGGGGAUAGCCUUUCGAAAGAAAGAUUAAUACCCGAUGGUAUAUAUUGAUUUCAUGGUCUUUAUAUUAAAGAAUUUCGGUAAACGAUGGGGAUGCGUUCCAUUAGGCAGUUGGCGGGGUAACGGCCCACCAAACCUACGAUGGAUAGGGGUUCUGAGAGGAAGGUCCCCCACAAUGGAACUGAGACACGGUCCAAACUCCUACGGGAGGCAGCAGUGAGGAAUAUUGGUCAAUGGGCGUAGGCCUGAACCAGCCAAGUAGCGUGAAGGAUGACUGCCCUAUGGGUUGUAAACUUCUUUUAUAAGGGAAUAAAGUGGAGUAUGUAUACUCUUUUGUAUGUACCUUAUGAAUAAGGAUCGGCUAACUCCGUGCCAGCCGCCGCCGUAA
rnacentral:rRNA from 1 species